rnacentral:rRNA from 1 species
UACGAAGGGGGCUAGCGUUGCUCGGAAUCACUGGGCGUAAAGCGCACGUAGGCGGCUUCUUAAGUCAGGGGUGAAAUCCUGGAGCUCAACUCCAGAACUGCCUUUGAUACUGGGAGGCUCGAGUCCGGAAGAGGUGAGUGGAACUGCGAGUGUAGAGGUGAAAUUCGUAGAUAUUCGCAAGAACACCAGUGGCGAAGGCGGCUCACUGGUCCGGUACUGACGCUGAGACGCGAAAGCGUGGGGAGCAAACAGG